GCGCCCUCGCACCCGGGGCGGGCUCGCUGCGCGUGCCGGGCGCCUCAGAACGUUCGCCGCGGGGGCGGCUCCGGGGCCUGAGCGGGUGCCGCCGCCGCCGCUGCCGCCGCCGCCUCAGCCGCGGGGGCCGGGCGGGAGGAGGCGGAGGAGGAGGCUGCGGCCGCCGGAGCCCUUCUCGACGCCCCCAGCUCCGGCCGGGAAGAUGAUUGAGGAAAGCGGGAACAAGCGGAAGACCAUGGCAGAGAAGAGGCAGCUAUUCAUAGAAAUGCGUGCUCAGAAUUUUGAUGUCAUACGACUAUCAACUUACAGAACAGCUUGCAAAUUACGAUUUGUACAAAAACGAUGCAACCUCCAUCUUGUUGAUAUCUGGAACAUGAUUGAAGCCUUCCGAGACAAUGGCCUUAAUACACUGGACCAUACCACUGAGAUCAGUGUCUCCCGCCUCGAGACUGUCAUCUCAUCCAUCUACUACCAGCUGAACAAGCGCCUUCCUUCUACUCACCAGAUCAGCGUGGAACAGUCCAUCAGCCUCCUCCUCAACUUUAUGAUUGCUGCAUAUGACAGUGAGGGCCGAGGCAAGUUGACGGUAUUUUCAGUUAAAGCUAUGUUAGCAACCAUGUGUGGUGGAAAAAUGCUGGACAAAUUGAGAUAUGUUUUCUCCCAGAUGUCAGAUUCCAAUGGCUUAAUGAUAUUUAGCAAGUUUGACCAGUAUCUGAAGGAAGUUCUGAAGCUCCCAACAGCUGUCUUUGAAGGGCCGUCUUUUGGUUACACAGAGCACUCAGUCCGCACCUGUUUUCCACAGCAGAAAAAGAUAAUGCUAAAUAUGUUUUUAGACACAAUGAUGGCCGAUCCUCCUCCCCAGUGCCUUGUCUGGCUACCUCUCAUGCAUAGGCUUGCCCACGCUGAGAAUGUCUUCCACCCUGUGGAGUGCUCCUAUUGCCGGUGUGAGAGUAUGAUGGGCUUCCGGUACCGAUGCCAGCAGUGCCACAACUACCAGCUCUGCCAGAAUUGCUUUUGGCGUGGCCAUGCCAGUGGUCCUCACAGCAACCAACACCAGAUGAAGGAGCAUUCCUCUUGGAAAUCGCCUGCAAAGAAGCUGAGCCAUGCAAUUAGUAAAUCCUUGGGGUGUGUACCCACCAGAGAACCUCCACAUCCUGUUUUUCCUGAACAACCAGAGAAACCACUUGACCUUGCGAACAUAGUCCCUCCUCGCCCUCUGACGAAUAUGAAUGACAGCACGGCGAGCCACAUGUCCUCUGGGGCACCUACUCCCACCAAGAGGUUACAGUAUAGCCAGGAUAUACCCGGUCACUUGGCGGAUGAGCACGCGCUGAUAGCCUCCUAUGUGGCCCGUCUGCAGCACUGUGCACGUGUCCUGGACAGUCCUAGCCGACUGGACGAGGAACACCGGCUUAUAGCUCGCUAUGCUGCCCGGCUGGCUGCAGAGGCAGGAAACAUGACCCGACCUCCCACCGACUUGAGCUUUAACUUUGAUGCCAACAAACAACAAAGACAGCUUAUUGCAGAACUGGAAAACAAAAACAGAGAGAUCCUGCAGGAGAUUCAGCGUCUCCGUCUAGAGCAUGAGCAGGCUUCCCAGCCCACCCCGGAGAAGGCCCAGCAGAACCCCACCUUGCUGGCAGAGCUGCGGCUGCUGAGGCAGAGGAAAGAUGAACUGGAGCAGAGGAUGUCGGCGCUGCAGGAGAGCAGGCGGGAGCUGAUGGUCCAGCUGGAAGGGCUGAUGAAGCUGCUAAAGGCUCAGGCCACAGGAUCGCCGCAUACAUCGCCCACUCACGGAGGCAGCCGCCCAAUGCCCAUGCCCGUGCGCUCCGCCUCUGCCGGCUCCACCCCCACCCACUGCCCACAGGACCCGCUGAGCGGAGUCGGCGGGGACAUGCAGGAGGCCUUCGCCCAAGGUGCCAGGAGGAACCUCCGCAAUGACCUGCUGGUGGCUGCCGACUCCAUCACCAACACCAUGUCAUCCCUGGUGAAGGAGCUCCACUCAGCAGGGGAAGGUGCAGAGGAAGAAGAGGAGAAGAUGCAGAAUGGGAAAGACAGAGAAUCACCUCUCCCAGAACCUGCCACCACCGUGCUGGGAGCUGUAAAUCCAGUUUGCACGCUUAACACUGGUGCAUGUCUGGUAGACUGACGGCAGUGGCCCUUGGUUAGCCGAGGAGCCGGGACAGAGAGGAAGCGCGGUUACAGAUCUUCCAGGCAGAAAAGCCAGGGCUGCAGCCCAGGAUCCAGAAAAGGAACUUUCCCAGGCCCUUCUGAGCAGUCUUAUCCUGGAGCAGCCUCCGGGCCUUUACCUGACACCCCUGCCUUCCCCCGUCUGCACCAGGCCCUUGGUUCUGUCCUGCUUGCACUCCAGGACCUGCUGUCUCCGGGCCUCCACCGACUCAGGGAUCGGGCAAGUUCAAGACGGGCAGCGCCUGCGCUGCGGAAGUUCUCUCGCUGCCCUGGAAAUCACGGCGCCUCCAGGGCUGGGGCACGCUUCUCCCUGAACUCGCUGCACAUGCAGACGAGGCCCUUCCUGACGCAGGCCUUGGCUGCCGCAGCCAACAAGACAGUCAGGAGCUGACUUGCCCGUGGGGAGCCUGCCAGAGCCCCUCUCCUCAGGGCACACAGGAACUGGGGGACGAGGAGAGGCGUGUCUGCCAUCUGGCCCACCCCUCUCCGUGCGCAUGAGGAACCUAAGGCUUGCUACCCAGGAGUUUGGUGCCAGGAUUGGAAUCGGAGCUGGAUCUUCUGCUCCUAAUGCUGACCUCUGACCCCAGGAGGAGUUAUGAGAAACUCACCAGUAGUGGAAAGUCAAAUGAAAAGCCUGAACACUCAGGUGGACCCUUAAGUUCUGCUCUCUUCGGGCAUGAGGCUCUCUCCCCUUCCACUCAGUGCUUCUCAGCACAUCUCCAGCCUCUUUGCCCUUCUCCUUAGUUGUAAUUCUUCUUCCUAUGAAACCACCACAUUCCAAACCUUGCACUGCAAACGCAGUUCUUUCUUCCCUGGAAACAUUUCCUGACUCUGUGACCUAAGCAAGGACUCCAAAGACUCGAGAUACCCCCAGAAAAGAGAAAGCCCCCUUCCCUAAAAGGGGGUGUGAGUAUUGUCCGCUCUUCCCAUGUCCCGAGUUGAAAGGUAGGCCUCCCAACAGCACCAUCCCUGCACAUUGACUUGUCCUCAGCAGAUGUUAGCAGCCGUUGCUUGGAGACCCUCGGCAGUGCCCCGGGGGUCACAGUGCAUCUGUCCUGCACAGGCACAGGGGACGUGGAGCGAGCUGGCACCGACACGAGGAAGGCGAGGUGUUCCCCAGAGGCGCAUUCCUGUCCCUCUUUCCGCUGCACACCUGGACCAGGCUUGCAGGCUGCCAGACGUCACCACCCG